rnacentral:rRNA from 1 species
UACGAAGGGGGCUAGCGUUGUUCGGAAUUACUGGGCGUAAAGCGCGUGUAGGCGGUUCGGUAAGUCCGCUGUGAAAGUCGGGGGCUCAACCCUCGAAUGCCGGUGGAUACUGUCGGACUAGAGGGUGGUAGAGGCGAGUGGAAUUCCCGGUGUAGCGGUGAAAUGCGCAGAUAUCGUAAGGAAGACCAGUGGCGAAGGCGAGUCUCUGGACAGCAACUGACGCUGAGGCACGAAGGCCAGGGGAGCAAACGGG